UGGGGAAUAUUGCACAAUGGGCGCAAGCCUGAUGCAGCCAUGCCGCGUGUAUGAAGAAGGCCUUCGGGUUGUAAAGUACUUUCAGCGGGGAGGAAGGCGAUAAGGUUAAUAACCUUGUCGAUUGACGUUACCCGCAGAAGAAGCACCGGCUAACUCCGUGCCAGCAGCCGCGGUAAUACGGAGGGUGCAAGCGUUAAUCGGAAUUACUGGGCGUAAAGCGCACGCAGGCGGUCUGUCAAGUCGGAUGUGAAAUCCCCGGGCUCAACCUGGGAACUGCAUUCGAAACUGGCAGGCUAGAGUCUUGUAGAGGGGGGUAGAAUUCCAGGUGUAGAGGUGAAAUGCGUAGAGAUCUGGAGGAAUACCGGUGGCGAAGGCGGCCCCCUGGACAAAGACUGACGCUCAGGUGCGAAAGCGUGGGGAGCAAACAGG
rnacentral:rRNA from 1 species